rnacentral:tRNA from 1 species
UGGGGGAUCGUCUAGUGGUAGGACAACGGGUUCUGGCCCCGUCAGCGAGGGUUCGAGUCCUUCUCCCCCAGCCA